UGGCCGCUUCAUGCCUUCGUGAGGGAAGGUCCACUCGGCCGCUUCUUCGUGAGGGAAGGCCCACUCAAGAAGGGAAGGUCCACUCAGCCGCUUCAUGUCUUCGCGAGGGAAGGUCCACUCGGCCGCUUCUUCGUGAGGGAAGGCCCACUCAACAAGGGAAGGUCCACUCAGCCGCUUCAUGUCUUCGCGAGGGAAGGUCCACUCGGCCGCUUCUUCGUGAGGGAAGGCCCACUCAAGAAGGGAAGGUCCACUCAGCCGCUUCAUGUCUUCGUGAGGGAAGGUCCUCUCGGCCGCUUCUUCGUGAGGGAAGGCCCACUCAACAAGGGAAGGUCCACUCAGCCACUUCAUGUCUUCGCGAGGGAAGGUCCACUCGGCCGCUUCAUGUCUUCGCGAGGGAAGGUCCACUCGGCCGCUUCAUGUCUUCGCGAGGGAAGGUCCACUCGGCCGCUUCAUGUCUUCGCGAGGGAAGGUCCACUCGGCCGCUUCAUGUCUUCGCGAGGGAAGGUCCACUCGGCCGCUUCUUCGUGAGGGAAGGCCCACUCAACAAGGGAAGGUCCACUCGGCCGCUUCAUGUCUUCGCGAGGGAAGGUCCACUCGGCCGCUUCAUGUCUUCGCGAGGGAAGGUCCACUCGGCCGCUUCAUGUCUUCGCGAGGGAAGGUCCACUCGGCCGCUUCAUGUCUUCGCGAGGGAAGGUCCACUCGGCCGCUUCAUGUCUUCGCGAGGGAAGGUCCACUCGGCCGCUUCAUGUCUUCGCGAGGGAAGGUCCACUCGGCCGCUUCAUGUCUUCGCGAGGGAAGGUCCACUCGGCCGCUUCAUGUCUUCGCGAGGGAAGGUCCACUCGGCCGCUUCAUGUCUUCGCGAGGGAAGGUCCACUCGGCCGCUUCAUGUCUUCGCGAGGGAAGGUCCACUCGGCCGCUUCAUGUCUUCGCGAGGGAAGGUCCACUCGGCCGCUUCAUGUCUUCGCGAGGGAAGGUCCACUCGGCCGCUUCAUGUCUUCGCGAGGGAAGGUCCACUCGGCCGCUUCAUGUCUUCGCGAGGGAAGGUCCACUCGGCCGCUUCAUGUCUUCAUGAAGGUCCUUUCGGCCGCUUCAUGUCUUCGUGAGGGAAGGCCCACUCAGCAAGGGAAGGUCCUCUUGGCCGCUUCAUGUUUUCCUGUGGGAAGGUUCUCUCAGCCGCUUCAUGUCUUCGUGAGGGAAGGUCCACUCAGCCGCUUCAUGUCUUCCUGUGGGAAGGUCCUCUCGGCCACUUCAUGUCUUCAUGAAGGUCCUCUCAGCCGCUUCAUGUGUUCCUUUCCGGCAUUUAUGAGGAGAUGGGAGAACUCCACCUCAGCUUGAUGUAGUCAAUUGCAAGAUUUAUAUCCUGCCUUUCAGUGUGUAUGUGACCAUACAAAUAAAUGAGAGAGAGAGAGAGAUUGAGAGAGAGAAUGGUACGAAGAGAGAUGACUGGCAACAGGGAGUUAGAAAUUUUAAUUGAACUUCUCGGCUUAUAUUUAAAGAAGCCUGGAGUUGCUGACUCUCCGUUGUCAGUCUUUAUUUAUUUUUCUAUGUAAACCCAUUUGGAAACUUUUGUUGAAAAGCAGCAUACUGUAUAAGUAGCAGUAGUAUAACAGUAUGACUAUAUAUUUAGUGUAUAAAUAUAUAUUUUAGUGACUAAACCUAUUCUUCCAAGAUCCAGAGCCUCCUGAGAAGCUGAGAAGUUGUUUCUCAACUUGAUCCUACCGUUCAAAUAAAUAUAUAUAUGUGUAUAUGUAUAUAUAUGUGUGUGUGUGUGUAUAUAUAUAUAUAUAUAUAUAAAAUAUAUAUUCUAAUAUUACAUAGAAUGUUACCAAGUUUUGUGCAGCAGCGUGUAAUAUUCAGCCUGAGUUUACUACCAAUGACAACUAUCUUUAUGUUGUCAAAUAAUCAGAUGUUUAGUCUUUGUUUCAAUGUAUAUUCUAAUUAUUCUGUAAUCUCUGUUUUAUAUACAUCUAUAUUUUAUUUAUAAUGUAUGUUAUUUUUGGUGGAGGAUGGAAUUGGUUUAUUUUUCCUGGUUGGUCAAAGACCAUAAUAAAUUUAGUUCAAUUAGUUCAAUUCUAUAUGUGUGUGUACACACACACAAAGAGUACAAAAAGAUAUGUUCCUCAUAUAUGUUUAUAUCAUACAUUUUUAUGUUACUGGUGCUUUCUGUUUUUCAAGGAGUGUUUUUUUUAAAUUUGUUAUAUUUUUAAACAGGUUUUAGUAUUUUGAGAUUGUUUGAUGCUUGUAAGCCUAUAUAUAAGCAACCUUGUGUUGUGAUCAUAUGUGUUUUUUUAGAUGAAUGAAAUCUAUAUACAUUUGCAUAGGAAUAAUAUAGGGCUGCGUGAGUUAAGAGGUUUGGUUCUUUUUCUUUUGCUAUGUAGACCACUUUGAAAACCUUUUGUUGAAAAGUGGUAUGUAAAUAUUUGUAGUAAUUGUAACAACAACAGGAACUAAUAAACACUAGUCUUAGUAAAAGACUAAUAACAGCACCAGCAAAAAGGCUUUUUUAAAGAGUCAGGUUUUAAUUUGGUGCCUGAAAGGAGGUAACACUAAUUAAUUAGUUAAUUGGCUAAACAUUGCAGUCCUAUAAUGAUUCUUAUCCUUUUUACUUUCCAGGCCAGGAUCUGAUAUCCAAGGCCUCUCUCUGUGUCAGCUGCUGUUUCCUGGUUCUUCCCUGACAAGUCUGCAGAAUGGCACAGUUUUUUACAUUGCAGUUCUUACAACCAAUGAUGAUACCUAGAUACGUUUCUCUCUCUCCAAGGCCUAUUCUGCACUUGCUGCGAAAUUUCAAGGGAUAAUAUAAUAUAUGGAGUUGCCCUCUAAUGAGUCAGACCCUUGCUCCGUCUAGCUCAGGAUUGUCUACACAAACUGGCAGCGGCUUCUCCAAGGUUUGAGGCAGGAGUCUUUCCCAGUCCUGCCUGGAGAUGCUGCCAGAGAAUGAACCUGGGACCUUCUGCAUGCAAAGCAGACCACUGAGUUGUAGCCUCAUCCUCUAAGGGGAAUAUCUUACAGUGUUCACAUGUAGUCACCCAUCCAAAUGCAAACCAAGGUGGUCCCUGCAUAGCAAAAAGACAGUUCAUGCUCACUACCGCAAGACCAGCUGUCCGCCCCAAAGGGCAGCUCUCCUAAUUUCCACUUCAGUGCUGUUGCAUGUUUGGACCAAAAUUAAAUUUUGCUUCAAAGUAUUUUGGAACCUCUCCUCUAGCUGAUAUUAAGAGGAGUACCAUAUGAAUUGUCCAUAGGAGUUUCCUUUAUUCCCAAGGCUAAGUUGUGGUAUUUAUUACAACUACAGUCUUUGAUUGAUUAAUCAAGUAAAAGCCUCUUUAUCUGAUUAAUGUAUUAAAAACCAUUGAAUGGCUCAAAAGAUACCCCAGUAGGUGGUACAUUUACCUUGAAAAAGAAUGGGCAGCAUCUAGAUUAGUUAGUCGUGACUAAGCACAACUGAAAUCAAUCGGCCAAGUUAAUCAUGACUAACCUAAGUCCCAUCAAUUUCAAUGGGAGCUAGUCAUGACUAACUCUGGAUGCAGUCCAUUGGUUGGUGUGUGUGUGUAUAUACUGCCAAUGACAGGAAUACCUUAGAAUAAGCAUCCAAUCUCAUAUCUAUAACAUAUGUGGCAUCCAACUCAGAAUGGAAUAGGGCCCAUCCUAUCAAGCAGCUGCAGAGACAGAUAGGAAAGAAAAUUGAGCCAUUUUCUUUAUUGGAGGCUACAUACAUAACCUCCUAAUGGUAAUGGAGAGCAAGUCAUUAAAAUUGUGAUUUGCUUUACUUUGGUGCCCCUCUAGUGGACUGUGCUUCAGGAACAGAACAAGCCACACAAGACAGAAACAUGCUUUUUCCACAGGUAGGUUCCAGACCUUGCCACACACAAAAAAACAAAACUCUGGAAAAUGCUUUUCUUUUCCAGAAUAUCUUGAAAAACUCACCCAUUGGAAAGCAGGGGGAAUGAUACCUCCUAGAUGUAGGAAAAGAUUAGAGUCACAGCAAGAGAACAAAAUGGUGGCAAACUCCAGGCCAUCACUGAGUCACUGACUGACUGACAUUAAACUCCCAGACAGAUCAACAAUGAGGAACCUUGAAGAUGGAUCAUCAGCUCAUAAUUAUCAGGAAUACCUUUGAAUAAGCAUCCAAUCUCAUAUCUGUAACAUAUGUGGCAUCCAACUCAGAAUGGAAUAGGACCCAUCUUAUCAAGCAGUUGCAGGAAAAUCUAGGAUUCAGGGGUGGAGUUUGGAUCCAUUUUCCGCCAAGAAUGCAGCUUGGACCGAAGAGGCGAGCAGCUGAAAUCUCUGGGGAUCAAGAGAGGCACAAUGGCAGAGAAUGCAUCCUGCUGACCGCAGCAUGAAUCUUGCCGGCAGGCGGGCACUAUAUAAACAAACAGAGCCUGUCUGGGCAGCAGGCGGCCCAUGGAGGAAGUGUCAGCAUUCAGCGAGCGAGAAGCAAUCCCUGCAGCCAAGAUGGCUCAGACAAACCCCCAACCGGCGCAGCUUGGCCCAUGGAAGGUCACCAUUUAUGACCAAGAGAACUUCCAGGGAAAACGGAUGGAAUUCACCGCUGCCUGCCCCAACAUUGUGGAGUGCAGCUUCGAUAAUGUUCGCUCACUCAAGGUGGAGAGUGGCACCUGGUUUGGCUACGAGCACACUAGCUUCUGUGGGCAGCAGUUUGUCCUGGAGCGAGGUGAGUACCCCCGGUGGGAGGCCUGGAGUGGCAGCAACGCUUACCACGUGGAGCGGCUGAUGUCCUUCCGUCCCAUCUGCUCGGCCAACCACAAGGAGUCCAAGAUCACCCUCUAUGAGAAGGAGAACUUCAUGGGCCACCAGUGGGAAGUUCAGGACGACUACCCUUCCCUACAGGCCAUGGGCUGGGCCAACAACGAAGUGGGCUCCAUGAAGAUCCAUUGUGGCGCAUGGGUUUGCUACCAGUAUCCUGGCUACCGUGGCUACCAGUACAUCUUGGAGUCCGACCACCACGGCGGAGACUACAAGCACUGGCGGGAGUGGGGCUCACACGCCCAGACCUCCCAGGUCCAGUCGGUCCGGCGCAUCCAGCAAUAAGCCCCCACUUGCUCUGGGGUGCCACUCACAGGACAGAAACCAGGACUCGGAUGAAGAGGUCCAAAACGGCAGAGAAGGCUCCCUGUGGUGGAGGCCUCCCUCACCACCACUCCAGCAACGCAUAGCCCUCGGAUCCAGGCCAAGAAGGUUCCCCCUCUCACUCCACCCUGGCAGGUGCUGAAUGCGUCACAGAACCCUCCCCCACGCACCGCCCCAGAUCCUUGGCAGCAGGCCGGGGGUUUCUCAACAGGUCACGCUCCUCAAGACACCCCCCUUUCACGCUUGCAAAGCAAGUUCCAGCUUUACUGCAUAGGAGCCCAGCAGCCCAGCGAGAGCGGAAAGACAGAGAGAGAGAGAAAGAAAGAGUCAACGCCCCUUACAAACAGAUGCCGGAGCCCAGAACCCUCAGCUAGAGUUUUGCCACCGAACCAAGGGGGCUCGAGAAGGGAGAUGGAGAAUCCGUGACCCCCUGCCUGGUUUGACUGCUCACUGGCCACAGAACAAGACCCCUCGCCAAAAAAAAAAGCCACCAGAGCAGAACUCGCAUCCUGGGGCACCAGCUCAGAAGAUGCCGGCAGAACGGCACUAGCAGCAGGCACGAGCAGCGACUGGGUCCCCAGGGAGCAUGCUCCGCGGUCGCCCCCCGCUAAAACCGGCCCAU